CCUACGGGAGGCAGCAGUAGGGAAUAUUGGGCAAUGGAGGCAACUCUGACCCAGCCAUGCCGCGUGCAGGAAGACGGUCCUCUGGAUUGUAAACUGCUUUUGAAUGGGAAGAAUGUGCUCCUUGCGAGGGGUAAUGACGGUACCAUUAGAAUAAGCCACGGCUAACUACGUGCCAGCAGCCGCGGUAAUACGUAGGUGGCGAGCGUUAUCCGGAUUUAUUGGGUUUAAAGGGUGCGUAGGCGGCUUAAUAAGUCGGUGGUUAAAAGUAGCAGCUUAACUGUUUUACAUGCCAUCGAUACUGUUGAGCUUGAGAUAUUUGGAGGCAGCUAGAAUUUCCGGUGUAGCGGUGAAAUGCAUAGAUACCGGAAGGAAUACCAAUUGCGAAGGCAGGUUGCUACGAAUAAACUGACGCUGAUGCACGAAAGCGUGGGGAUCAAACAGGAUUAGAUACCCUGGUAGUCCACGCCGUAAACGAUGAUUACUAGUUGUUGGGUUUAAGCUCAGUGACCAAGGGAAACCGAUAAGUAAUCACCUGGGGAGUACGCCGGCAACGGUGAAACUCAAAGGAAUUGACGG
rnacentral:rRNA from 1 species